rnacentral:misc_RNA from 1 species
GAUGAAGAACGUAGCGAAAUGCGAUAAGUAAUGUGAAUUGCAGAAUUCAGUGAAUCAUCGAAUCUUUGAACGCAUCUUGCGCUCCUUGGUAUUCCGAGGAGCAUGCCUGUUUGAGUAUCAUGAGCAAAUCUCAAAGUCGAUCCUUUUGUUAAUUCAAUUGGUUUGCUUUGGACUUGGAGGCCUUGCAGAUUUCACCGUCUGCUCCUCUUAAAUGCAUUAGCUGGAUCUCAGUAUUAUGCUUGGUUCCACUCGGCGUGAUAAGUAUCACUCGCUGAGGACACUGUAAAAGGUGGCCAGGAAAAUACUGAUCGAACCGCUUCUAACGGUCUAUUAACUUAGACAAUUACCCUUAAGUUUGAUCUCAAAUCAGGUAGGACUACCCGCUGAACUUAAGCAUAUCAAUAAGCGGAGGA